CACGUAGGAGGCAAACGUUAUCCGGAUUUACUGGGCGUAAAGCGCGUGUAGGUGGUUCUGUAAGUAGGGCGUGAAAGCUCCCGGCUCAACUGGGAGAGGCCGUUCUAAACUGCAGAGCUAGAGGAUGGUAGAGGGAGGUGGAAUUCCAGGUGUAGCGGUGGAAUGCGCAGAUAUCUGGAGGAACACCAGUGGCGAAGGCGGCCUCCUGGACCAUUCCUGACACUCAGACGCGAAAGCUAGGGUAGCAAACAGGAUUAGAUACCCGGGUAGUCCCU
rnacentral:rRNA from 1 species